CUCAAUAUGAUGAUAGAUUAGUCCACUGACUUUGGUUAGAUUUGACCUAUUUUUGGAAGAAUCUGAAAUACCAAAACUACACAACAGGAUGUUCGCAUUUAGCGAGGCAUUUGUCUGAUUGAGAA
rnacentral:snoRNA from 2 species